CGUAAACGAUGAGUGCUAAGUGUAGGGGGUUCCGCCCUUAGUGCUGCAGCUAACGCAUUAAGCACUCCGCUGGGGAGUACGACCGCAAGGUUGAAACUCAAAGGAAUUGACGGGGGCCCGCACAAGCGGUGGAGCAUGUGGUUUAAUUCGAAGCAACGCGAAGAACCUUACCAGGUCUUGACAUCCUUUGAUCACUCUAGAGAUAGAGCUUUCCCUUCGGGGACAAAGUGACAGGUGGUGCAUGGUUGUCGUCAGCUCGUGUCGUGAGAUGUUGGGUUAAGUCCCGCAACGAGCGCAACCCUUAUUGUUAGUUGCCAUCAUUCAGUUGGGCACUCUAGCGAAACUGCCGGUGACAAACCGGAGGAAGGUGGGGAUGACGUCAAAUCAUCAUGCCCCUUAUGACCUGGGCUACACACGUGCUACAAUGGACAGUACAAUGAGCAGCGACACGGCGACGUGAAGCGAAUCUCAUAAAGCUGUUCUCAGUUCGGAUUGUAGGCUGCAACUCGCCUACAUGAAGCCGGAAUCGCUAGUAAUCGCGGAUCAGCACGCCGCGGUGAAUACGUUCCCGGGCCUUGUACACACCGCCCGUCACACCACGAAAGUUUGUAACACCCAAAGUCGGUGAGGUAACCUUCGGGGGCCAGCCGCCUAAGGUGGGAUAGAUGAUUGGGGUGAAGUCGUAACAAGGUAACCA
rnacentral:rRNA from 1 species